rnacentral:rRNA from 1 species
GAUGAACGCUGGCGGCGUGCUUAACACAUGCAAGUCGAACGAAGCGAUUUAGCGGAAGUUUUCGGAUGGAAGCUAGAUUGACUGAGUGGCGGACGGGUGAGUAACGCGUGGGUAACCUGCCUCACACUGGGGGACAACAGUUAGAAAUGACUGCUAAUACCGCAUAAGCGCACAGGACCGCAUGGCCCGGUGUGAAAAACUCCGGUGGUGUGAGAUGGACCCGCGUUUGAUUAGCUAGUUGGUGGGGUAACGGCCUACCAAGGCGACGAUCAAUAGCCGACCUGAGAGGGUGACCGGCCACAUUGGGACUGAGACACGGCCCAA